rnacentral:rRNA from 1 species
UACGAAGGGUGCAAGCGUUACUCGGAAUCACUGGGCGUAAAGCGUGCAUAGGCGGUUGAUUAAGUCUGCUGUGAAAGCCCUGGGCUCAACCUGGGAACUGCAUUUGUGACUGCAAGGCUAGAGUACGGCAGAGGGGGAUGGAAUUCCGCGUGUAGCAGUGAAAUGCGUAGAUAUGCGGAGGAACACCGAUGGCGAAGGCAAUCCCCUGGGCCUGUACUGACGCUCAUGCACGAAAGCGUGGGGAGCAAACAGG